AGAGUUGUUAGGAGACCCCUGUUCCCCUCACAGAGCUAUAAUUAUCAGAGUGGCUUAAUAAUCAGUCCUUCUCCAAAGAGAACUCUGGGAAUCACAGCUCAGUGAGGGGAGUUAGGGGUCUCCUAACAACUCU